UGCAGUCGAGCGGANAGAUGGGAGCUUGCUCCCUGAUGUUAGCGGCGGACGGGUGAGUAACACGUGGGUAACCUGCCUGUAAGACUGGGAUAACUCCGGGAAACCGGGGCUAAUACCGGAUGNUUGUUUGAACCGCAUGGUUCAGACAUAAAAGGUGGCUUCGGCUACCACUUACAGAUGGACCCGCGGCGCAUUAGCUAGUUGGUGAGGUAACGGCUCACCAAGGCNACGAUGCGUAGCCGACCUGAGAGGGUGAUCGGCCACACUGGGACUGAGACACGGCCCAGACUCCUACGGGAGGCAGCAGUAGGGAAUCUUCCGCAAUGGACGAAAGUCUGACGGAGCAACGCCGCGUGAGUGAUGAAGGUUUUCGGAUCGUAAAGCUCUGUUGUUAGGGAAGAACAAGUGCCGUUCAAAUAGGGCGGCACCUUGACGGUACCUAACCAGAAAGCCACGGCUAACUACGUGCCAGCAGCCGCGGUAAUACGUAGGUGGCAAGCGUUGUCCGGAAUUAUUGGGCGUAAAGGGCUCGCAGGCGGUUUCUUAAGUCUGAUGUGAAAGCCCCCGGCUCAACCGGGGAGGGUCAUUGGAAACUGGGGAACUUGAGUGCAGAAGAGGAGAGUGGAAUUCCACGUGUAGCGGUGAAAUGCGUAGAGAUGUGGAGGAACACCAGUGGCGAAGGCGACUCUCUGGUCUGUAACUGACGCUGAGGAGCGAAAGCGUGGGGAGCGAACAGGAUUAGAUACCCUGGUAGUCCACGCCGUAAACGAUGAGUGCUAAGUGUUAGGGGGUUUCCGCCCCUUAGUGCUGCAGCUAACGCAUUAAGCACUCCGCCUGGGGAGUACGGUCGCAAGACUGAAACUCAAAGGAAUUGACGGGGGCCCGCACAAGCGGUGGAGCAUGUGGUUUAAUUCGAAGCAACGCGAAGAACCUUACCAGGUCUUGACAUCCUCUGACAAUCCUAGAGAUAGGACGUCCCCUUCGGGGGCAGAGUGACAGGUGGUGCAUGGUUGUCGUCAGCUCGUGUCGUGAGAUGUUGGGUUAAGUCCCGCAACGAGCGCAACCCUUGAUCUUAGUUGCCAGCAUUCAGUUGGGCACUCUAAGGUGACUGCCGGUGACAAACCGGAGGAAGGUGGGGAUGACGUCAAAUCAUCAUGCCCCUUAUGACCUGGGCUACACACGUGCUACAAUGGACAGAACAAAGGGCAGCGAAACCGCGAGGUUAAGCCAAUCCCACAAAUCUGUUCUCAGUUCGGAUCGCAGUCUGCAACUCGACUGCGUGAAGCNGGAAUCGCUAGUAAUCGNGGAUCA
rnacentral:rRNA from 1 species